CUUUCCUUUUUUCAAUUGAUCGAUUAACAGAUGGAGGAAUUUGCACUCCAAAUUUGAGUCCCUUUCUUGUUCAUUUACUUAAAGUUAGGAAUAAUCCACAAUACCUUAAGUAUGUCUGGGAAAUCCUUUUAAUGAAAUACCAGUGGGUUAUACUUGCACUAAAUAAUAAAAUACUGACAAAACCCAGCAUUUCAUUGACGACCUA
rnacentral:lncRNA from 1 species